GUUACAAUGGCAGGUACAGAGGGGUGCUACCGGGUGACCGGAUGCCGAUCUCGAAAACCUGUCCCAGUUCGGACUGGAGUCUGCAACCCGACUCCACGAAGUUGGAUUCGCUAGUAAUCGCGCAUCAGCCAUGGCGCGGUGAAUACGUUCCCGGGCCUUGUACACACCGCCCGUCAAGCCAUGGGAGCCGGGGGCGCCUGAAGUCCGGGACCGCGAGGACCGGCCUAGGGCGAAACUGGUGACUGGGGCUAAGUCGUAACAAGGUAUC
rnacentral:rRNA from 1 species